AUGCUAUGUGUCUUUCUCUUUCUUGUUUUUCAUGCAGUCUUCCAUCGUCUUCCUCUAUUCCGACCCCAGGUGUGGCUUCAUGUGCUGGAACAUCGCUCCUGUCUGGAAGUGCUCCUGCACGUUGGUGAGGACUCCCUUCCGGCCCUCGGCUGGCCUUCAUCACCUCACACCUGGAUGACCGCAACAGCUGGCCUGCCUUGGGCUAGCCUUUCUCUGCUCCAGCCUCUCCAGCUGCCAGGACCCAUCUUCUGCAAAUACCUUUGGCAUCACAUCACUUCCCUGCUCAGACCUAUUAGAUCCUAGCUCCAUUCAUCUGGCUGGGAGCCAGCCAAUUGGCCUCCCAUUCUUCCUCUUCCCUCCUUUCAAGUUCACUCCCAUCCAGCCAGCCUCAUAGGUUGCUUUAAAUCUUCUGUUAGCCCCUCUGCUAGUUUGGGUGGUCUCCUUUCCACCUCCUCCCGCCCUCCCUCCAGAAUACUUCUGGUGACUUUGGGGGAGUCAUGCAAACUGUCGAGCUUCUCCAGCCUCUUUCUCAAUGCAUUUGCCUCCCCUGCCCGCAUCGCGGCUCCACCAUUCACCUGCUAGAGGCCUUCAGGCAAGUUGCUUCACCUCUCGGUGCCUCAGUGUUCUCAUUUUUUUCAUCCAUAAAAUGGGGAUCUUAAUGGUACAUCCUCAUCAGUUCGUGGAGAAGAUUAAAAGAGGUGAUAGUGGAGUUCCCAUUGUGGCGCAGUGGAAACAUAUCUGACUAGUCUCCAUGAGGACGCAGGUUCGAUUCCCUGGCCUCGCUCAGUGGGCUAAGGAUCUGGCAUUGCUGUGAGCUGUGGUGUAGGUCACAGACGCGACUCGGAUCCCCCGUUACUGUGGCUGUGACGUAGGCCGGUGGCUACAGCUCCAAUUUGACCCCUCACCUGGGAACUUCCAUAUGCUGCAGGUGUGGCCCUGAAAAGAAAAAAAAAAAAAAAAAAGGAGAUAGCUGUAAAAGGACCUAGAACAAUAUUCGGCACAAAGUAACUGCCAUGGACACAUCAGCUAUUAUUACUUUUUUUUUUUUGUCUUUUGUCUUUUUAGGGCUGUACCCAUGGCAUAUGGAAGUUCCCAGGCUAGGGGUCUAAUCGGAGCUGUAGCCUACACUAGAGUCACAGCAACGCCAGAUCUGAGCCGAGUCUGUGACCUACACCAGAGCUCACCACCACGCCGGAUCCUUAACCCACUGAGCGAGCCCAGGGAUCGGACCCGCAACCUCAUGGUUCCUAGUUGGAUUCAUUAACCACUGAGCCACAAUGGGUACUCCAGCUAUUAUUACUUAACCAUUGUUAUUAUGGUGCCUUCUAGCCAGCUCUCCCCUGGACACCACUUCCACUUGGAAGAGCUAACUGGUGGAGCUGUCUGUCAAAAAAAAAAAAAUGAGUCCAGGAAAAACAAAUUUCAUAAAUAGAUUCUGCUAAAUCUAAGACUGUUGAAGUCUUCCAAUUGGUGAAUAUUAUUUUAUUCACCAAGAGUGCGGAGCUGGUUCACUGUUAAGUAUCUGAGACAACUUGAGGAACUGGGCUGUCUACAAAGCACUACUUACAUCCAUUAAUUUCUAACCAACCAGGAGGAGGGCAUGUGAGAUUUAAAAUCAGGAUUUUUCCGGGAUGAAUAGGAUGGUGUGGGGACAACGUCAAAACACCCUAAGGGACCAAUGCGUUGUGCAUGUUAUUUCCCAUGGUCUUUCUAGAAUCCUUCUCACUAUGCCCUAAGUCCCAAUGGCCCUGCUUCCACAUCUGCUCACUCCCUGUGUUCCUCCUUGGAGCCUAAUUGGAAUUGCUUUUCUCUCUGGGAGUUCCCAGCCUGAGAGCCCUGCACCUUGCACCUCUACCAUCAUUGCUGUAAAUAAUCUACCAUCUUCAUCUUUGUUCUUCUUUUCAAAUCCACCUCUAUGGUUUUGUGGCGAAUACAACGCAUUCCUUUAAAAUCGCUGGUGAAUUCACAGUCACUGUUUAUCAUUGUAUGUUCUCUUGCUCUCGCUCAAUGAAUUCGGUCCUACCUCAGAGAUACCAGGUUCGGUGCCAGACCAUGGCCAUAAAGUGAACAUCUCAACAAAACAAGUCACGUGACUUUUUUGGGGGCUUCCCAGUGCCUACCAAAGUUAUGCUUACCUUAUACUGUAGCCUAUUAGGUGUGCAAUAGCAUUAUGCCUGAAAAAACAAUGUACAGACCUUAUUUAGAAAAUACUUGGAAUUCCCGUCGUGGCUCAGCAGAAACGAAUCUCCCUAGCAUCCACGAGGACGCAGGUUUGAUCCCUGGCCUCGCUCAGUGGGUUAAGGAUCUGGCAUUGCCAUGAGCUGUGGUGUAGGUUGCAGACAGGGCUUGGAUCCCCCUAGUUGCUGUGACUGUGGUGUAGGAUGGCAGCUUUAACUCUGAUUCGACUCCUAGUCUGGGAACCUCCAUGUGCCGAGAGUAUGACCCUUAAAAAAGACCCGAAAAAGAAAAAGAAAAUACUCGGAGUUCCCAUCGUGGCUCAGUGGUUAACGAAUCCGACUAGGAACCAUGAGGUUGUGGGUUCUAUCCCUGGCUUUGCUCAGUGGGUUAAGGAUCCGGCGUUGCCAUGAGCUGUGGUGUGGGUCGCAGACGCGGCUUGGAUCCCGUGUUGCUGUGGCUCUGGCGUAGGCCGACGGCUACAGCUCUGGACCCCUAGCCUGGGAACCUCCAUAUGCUGCAGGAGCAGCCCAAGAAAUGGCAAAAAGACAAAAAAAAAAAAAAAAAAGAAGAAGAAGAAAAUACUCGAUUGUGAAAAAAUUCUAGCCUUCAUCAAGUUAUAACAUCAAAGAUGACUGAUCACAGGUCACCGUAACAAAUAUAACAAAUGAAGAAAUUUAAAAUAUUGAAAGAAAUACCACCAUGUGACACGGAGACACGAAGUGAGCAAAUGCUGUUGGGAAAAUGACACUGAUAGGUUUGUUCGAUGCAGAGGUAGCCAGAAAACUUUAAUUUGAAAACAAAAAGCACGGAGUAUCCAUGAAGCGCAAUAAAGCGAGGUAUAUCUGUACUAAAAGUUCA
rnacentral:lncRNA from 1 species